rnacentral:rRNA from 1 species
UGCCAGCAGCCGCGGUAAUACGGAGGGUGCUAGCGUUAUUCGGAAUGACUGGGCGUAAAGGGCGUGUAGGCGGUUAUAUAAGUUAGACGUGAAAGCCCCGGGCUUAACCUGGGAACAGCGUUUAAUACUGUAUGACUAGAGACCGAGAGAGGAAAGCGGAAUUCCUAGUGUAGGGGUGAAAUCCGUAGAUAUUCGGAGGAACACCAGUGGCGAAGGCGGCUUUCUGGACCGAUACUGACGCUGAGACGCGAAAGCGUGGGGAGCAAACAGGAUUAGAUA